GACAGAGGGUGCAAACGUUGUUCGGAAUUACUGGGCGUAAAGCGCGUGUAGGCGGCUCGGUAAGUCGGGUGUGAAAGCCCUGGGCUCAACCCAGGAAGUGCACUCGAAACUGCCGGGCUUGAGUUCCGGAGAGGAAGGCGGAAUUCUCGGUGUAGAGGUGAAAUUCGUAGAUAUCGAGAGGAACACCGGUGGCGAAGGCGGCCUUCUGGACGGUGACUGACGCUGAGACGCGAAAGCGUGGGGAGCAAACAGG
rnacentral:rRNA from 1 species